CCUCCCCACUUUAUUUGUACGUCCCCCAUUGGUUCUGUUCUUCUGGGGAACCUAGACUGAUACAUCACUCUUGGCAUUCUUCUUUUCCAGUGUGAAGUUUGGAAGACUCAGUUGAGUUGGAGAGUCAUGUUUAAGGCUGCAAGAACACAGCCAAACAGUGCCCCCUGGAGAACAUUUGAAAUGGUUGGGAUUUCCCUCAACCAGCGCUUACUGCCUUCUGGGAACCUUAUUAGGCAGCAGUAGGAGGAUGCAUAGUUGGAGCUGAAGUACCGUCUUGCAACUGAGGCAGUCAGCUGGAAGGGCAUGCCGAUAUGCGGAGGUUAGAAGACUGGAAAUGAGGAGGAACACUUAGGUUCUUGAUAACGUUGUUAAUAUGCUGAACCAACCAUGGGCUCUCUUCCAGACUUGUUGGUAAAAUAAACGUCCUAUGAUUUAAACCA